UUGAGUCUGAUAUCAGUGUAAUGAAGCACUGUGGUACACUUUUGGUGGAGGAACUAAACUGACCAUCGCUGGUCCCGCAGUGAAGCCCUCCGUGUCUCUGCUGCCUCCCUCUUCUCUGCAGAUCUCUGGAGACUCAGCCGCACUGCUCUGUCUGCUCAGCUCUUACUCUCCACAGGGGGCGCAGGUGAGCUGGACGCUGGACGGGUCAGAGGUCACCGAGGGGGUUCAGACCAGCGCAGAGAGCGAGCGGGACGGACGCUACAGCCGCAGCAGCGUCCUGAGCCUCAGCAAAGC